GGGUCGAUGCUCGAGUGGUUAAUGGGGACGGAUUGUAAAUCCGCUGGCAAUGCCUACGCUGGUUCGAAUCCAGCUCGGCCCA
rnacentral:tRNA from 2 species